GACGAACGCUGGCGGCGUGCUUAACACAUGCAAGUCGAACGGAAAGGCCCUGCUUUUGUGGGGUGCUCGAGUGGCGAACGGGUGAGUAACACGUGAGUAACCUGCCCUUGACUUUGGGAUAACUUCAGGAAACUGGGGCUAAUACCGGAUAGGAGCUCCUGCUGCAUGGUGGGGGUUGGAAAGUUUCGGCGGUUGGGGCUGGACUCGCGGCUUAUCAGCUUGUUGGUGGGGUAGUGGCUUACCAAGGCUUUGACGGGUAGCCGGCCUGAGAGGGUUACCGGCCACCUUGGGACUGAGAUACGGCCCAGACUCCUACGGGAGGCAGCAGUGGGGAAUAUUGCACAAUGGGCGGAAGCCUGAUGCAGCAACGCCGCGUGCGGGAUGACGGCCUUCGGGUUGUAAACCGCUUUCGCCUGUGACGAAGCGUGAGUGACGGUAAUGGGUAAAGAAGCACCGGCUAACUACGUG
rnacentral:rRNA from 1 species